AAGUCGUAACAAGGUUUCCGUAGGUGAACCUGCGGAAGGAUCAUUAUCGUGGGGCUUCGGCCCUAUCGAGAUAGAACCCUUGCCUUUAUAGUACCUUCUGUUGCCUCGGCGUACGCUUCACCGCUGCGCCAACGGGGCCAACCAAAAACCCUUUUUCUAUCAUGAAUUAGUCUGAAAAACAAACAAAAGUUAAAACUUUCAACAACGGAUCUCUUGGUUCUG
rnacentral:misc_RNA from 1 species